rnacentral:rRNA from 1 species
UGGGGAAUUUUGGACAAUGGGCGAAAGCCUGAUCCAGCAAUGCCGCGUGUGUGAAGAAGGCCUUCGGGUUGUAAAGCACUUUUGUCCGGAAAGAAAUCCUUGGCUCUAAUACAGUCGGGGGAUGACGGUACCGGAAGAAUAAGCACCGGCUAACUACGUGCCAGCAGCCGCGGUAAUACGUAGGGUGCAAGCGUUAAUCGGAAUUACUGGGCGUAAAGCGUGCGCAGGCGGUUUGCUAAGACCGAUGUGAAAUCCCCGGGCUCAACCUGGGAACUGCAUUGGUGACUGGCAGGCUAGAGUAUGGCAGAGGGGGUAGAAUUCCACGUGUAGCAGUGAAAUGCGUAGAGAUGUGGAGGAAUACCGAUGGCGAAGGCAGCCCCUGGGCCAAUACUGACGCUCAUGCACGAAAGCGUGGGGAGCAAACAGGAUUAGAUACCCUGGUAGUCCACGCCCUAAACGAUGUCAACUAGUUGUUGGGGAUUCAUUUCCUUAGUAACGUAGCUAACGCGUGAAGUUGACCGCCUGGGGAGUACGGUCGCAAGAUU